AAGAGCCGUAUGAAGUGAGAGAUUCACGUACGGAUUUGUGAGGGGCAGGAGGUGAAAUUCCUCCGGCCUACUCGAC
rfam:Microgenomates (Gottesmanbacteria) bacterium GW2011_GWB1_49_7 TY48_C0034, whole genome shotgun sequence.